UAUGAGAAGUUAUUUCAAAACUUGUGAUAUUACUAAUCUUAGUUAGGGAUAAUGGUAGUUGCAGCAAUGGCAUGUUCGUCAUGUAGUACAGUAGCAGCGCCAAGGAAAUGGAAAUUGAAGUCACCGAGGCUCUUCACACACAAAUUCAAAUGCUGUGCGACACAACCACAACCACAACCACAGUGUUCUAUUGUGCACAACGACGACUUGCAAGCUCUCUUACAGCUUCUUCCAUCCGAUUUGCAUCACAAUCUCCUCAACCAACCAAAUCGCCCUCAACUUUUGGAGGUUAUAUUGGAUUUAGGCCGUUUUCCUGAAGCGCGUUAUCUAGGCAAACUCGGAAAUCAACAUCUGAGGAAUUCUGAGGUAACGAUCAAAGAGUUGGAAUAUGCUGAAGGAGCUGUUGGAGAGUUUGGGAAGGACAAUAGAGCUGGUAUUGAGGGUACUUUGCAUAGAAUAUCUGCAAUAAGGAGUAGGAAUGGUAGCAUUGUUGGUUUGACGUGUAGAAUUGGGAGGGCAGUCACUGGCCACAUUGACAUGGUUUAUGAUCUUCUUCAAUAUGGCAAGAGCAUUUUAUUUGUUGGAAGACCUGGGGUUGGCAAGACUACUGUCAUGAGAGAGAUUGCUCGUGUAAUGUCAGAUGAAUUUCACAAAAGAGUGGUGAUUGUCGAUACCAGUAAUGAAAUUGGAGGUGACGGAAAUAUUCCCCAUGCAGCAAUAGGUGGUGCACGGAGAAUGCAGGUACCCAAGCCAUCAAUGCAACACAGCGUGAUGAUUGAGGCAGUUGAAAAUCAUAUGCCUGAGGUGAUCAUAGUAGAUGAGAUUGGCACUGAAGCUGAAGCUCAUGCUUGCCGGUCAAUUGCUGAGCGAGGCAUCAUGCUUAUAGGGACUGCUCAUGGAGAGAAGAUUGAGAAUGUCAUGAAGAAUCCUACACUCUCUGAUCUGUCAAUUUGUUGCUUACUUCAGGGUCAAAAGGACUGCAAGUUUUUGUGUGUGUGUGCGUGUGGUGGGGAUGCAAUUCAUAAGAGCAUUGUGGCAUGUCUAUGCAUUCACAUUAAUGUGGCUAAUUAACAUUAAUCACAAUGGGCCACUGUGAUUUUGGCAAAAGCUACACUUUGGAGCUUCAACAAAAUCAUGGCGCCAUCAUGACUACGUGCAUGUUUGCUUCACUCAUUCAGUUGAGAUACAUAUUGGAGGAGUUGAAAGCGUUACUCUGGGAGAUGCAGAAGCCAGAGCAAGAAAAUGUCAGAAGACUAUCCUUGAGAGGAAAGCUCCCCCAACAUUUGAUUUCUUGAUUGAGAUGAGAGACAGACACUACUGGCUUACACAUCAGACCGACAAAAGCGUAGAUAUGUUGCUUCGAGGCAAGAGCCCACAGGUCGAGGUAAGAAAAAGAGAUGAAAAAUGCAAGGUUGUGAUUGAAAAAUCUAAAGCUUAUGAUACGUGCCAAAUUUGAUUUUUUUACCUUUUCAUAAUAUAAUUCAUUUUACAAAAGAUUCAGAUUUUAAAUUUAUAAACCUGUUGAGCAUUUUGUAAUUUUUUUGGCGACAUUCUAUAUAUGUGUGUAUAUUUUUCACUUUAUGUUCCUGAUAUAAACAAUUUAAAACACGAUGGCAUCUAAUUAGAGCAUGCCAUUACCAUGCGAGUGCCUAGUUUUGUCGACCAAAUAUUUUCUUCAAUGUGUUAUUGUCUAAAUGCCUUGUGGGUGCAUUACCUCUCUUCGUUCAGGACAUCAACUUUUGUUGAUUGAUUGAAGAUUAUGACGGUAUGUUGCUCGGUAAUGUAAUGCCUACAUUUGCCUAUCAUAUCCUCUUGAUGCAUAA